rnacentral:ncRNA from 1 species
UAAGUCUCAAAGCUCCAUUUUUUUUUAGGGGGAUGAUGGAUUGAACAGAACCUUUUCCAAAGGUUUUUUCACCAAGCAAUAUUGCUCUUUUGUGGUCUUUCAGAGCUCCAGAUACAAUUUCUGACGCUGAUGCUGAGCCUCGGUUAAUCAGUACUAUUAGAGGUUUUCUUUUUAAUAUAUCGCCUUUUUUGGCCGUGUAAAUUUUAAUAUCAUUUUUAUCUCUUCCUCUUGUAGAAACUAUUUCUCCGCUAUCUAAGAAAGCGUCUGUUAUUUUAAUGGCUUGGGAUAAGAGCCCGCCAGGAUUGUUACGAAG